rnacentral:rRNA from 1 species
AACGAACGCUGGCGGCAUGCCUAACACAUGCAAGUCGAACGAGACCUUCGGGUCUAGUGGCGCACGGGUGCGUAACGCGUGGGAACCUGCCCUUAGGUUCGGAAUAACUCCCCGAAAGGGGUGCUAAUACCGGAUAAUGUCUUCGGACCAAAGAUUUAUCGCCUUUGGAUGGGCCCGCGUUGGAUUAGCUAGUUGGUAGGGUAAAAGCCUACCAAGGCGACGAUCCAUAGCUGGUCUGAGAGGAUGAUCAGCCACACUGGAACUGAGACACGGCCCAGACUCCUACGGGAGGCAGCAGUGAGGAAUAUUGGACCAUGGGCGAAAGACUGAUCCAGCAAUGCCGCGUGAGUGAUGAAGGCCUUAGGGUUGUAAAGCUCUUUUACCCGGGAUGAUAAUGACAGUACCGGGAGAAUAAGCACCGGCUAACUCCGUG